rnacentral:tRNA from 1 species
GCAGUCGUGGCCGAGUGGUUAAGGCGAUGGACUAGACAUUCAUUGGGGUCUCCCCGCACAGGUUCGAAUCCUGUCGACUGCG